rnacentral:rRNA from 1 species
UACGGGGGGGUAAGCGUUGUUCGGAAUUACUGGGUGUAAAGCGCGUGUAGGCGGGAGGCCAAGUCUGUGGUGAAAUCGCCUGGCUUAACUGGGCGGGGUCCAUGGAAACUGGUCACCUGGAGGUCGGUAGAGGCAAGUGGAAUUCCCGGUGUAGUGGUGAAAUGCGUAGAGAUCGGGAGGAACACCAGUGGCGAAGGCGGCUUGCUGGGCCGGACCUGACGCUGAGACGGCGAAGGCGUGGGGAGCGAACGGGG